rnacentral:rRNA from 1 species
UACGUAGGUGGCAAGCGUUGUCCGGAUUUACUGGGCGUAAAGAGCGCGCAGGCGGUCGUUCAAGUCGCGUGUGAAAGCCCCCGGCUCAACUGGGGAGGGUCACGCGAUACUGAUCGACUCGAAGGCAGGAGAGGGUAGUGGAAUUCCCGGUGUAGUGGUGUAAAUGCGUAGAUAUCGGGAGGAACACCAGUGGCGAAGGCGACUACCUGGCCUGUUCUUGACGCUGAGGCGCGAAAGCUAGGGGAGCAACGGG